rnacentral:misc_RNA from 1 species
GAUGAAGAACGUAGCGAAAUGCGAUACGUAAUGUGAAUUGCAGAAUUCAGUGAAUCAUCGAAUCUUUGAACGCAUAUUGCGCUCUCUGGUAUUCCGGAGAGCAUGCUUGUUUGAGUAUCAGUAAACACCUCAACUUCCAUAUCUUUUUUGAAAUGGGAGUUGGACUUGAGUGAUCCCAACGCUUUUCCUCACCGAAAAGUGGCGGGUUACUUGAAAUGCAGGUGCAGCUGGACUUUUCUCUGAGCUAUAAGCAUAUCUAUUUAGUCUGCCUAAAAAACAGAUUAUUACCUUUGCUGCAGCUAACAUAAAGGAGAUUAGUUCUUGUGCUGACUGAUGCAGGAUUCACAAAGACAGGCUUCGGCCGACUUUGUAAACUCGAUCUCAAAUCAAGUAAGACUACCCGCUGAACUUAAGCAUAUCAAAAGCGGAGA